rnacentral:tRNA from 1 species
GGGAGUUUAGCUCAGCUGGGAGAGCAUCUGCUUACAAGCAGAGGGUCAGCGGUUCGAUCCCGUUAACUCCCAAAGGUCCCGUAGUGUAGCGGUUAUCACGUCGCCCUGUCACGGCGAAGAUCGCGGGUUCGAUUCCCGUCGGGACCGUUU